UACAGAGGUGGCAAGCGUUGUUCGGAAUUACUGGGCGUAAAGGGCGCGUAGGCGGUUCGUUAAGUCCUGUGUGAAAUCUCGAGGCUCAACUUCGAGCUGUCGGUGGAAACUGUCUGGCUAGAGUCCGGAAGAGGAGAAUGGAAUUCCUGGUGUAGCGGUGAAAUGCGCAGAUACCAGGAAGAACACCCGUGGCGAAGGCGGCUCUCUGGGACGGUACUGACGCUGAGACGCGAAAGCGUGGGGAGCGAACAGG
rnacentral:rRNA from 1 species